UACGUAGGGUGCAAGCGUUAAUCGGAAUUACUGGGCGUAAAGCGUGCGCAGGCGGUUUUGUAAGUCAGACGUGAAAUCCCUCGGCUUAACCGGGGAACUGCAUCUGAUACUGGAUGGCUUGAGUUCGGGAGAGGGAUGCGGAAUUCCAGGUGUAGCGGUGAAAUGCGUAGAUAUCUGGAGGAACACCGGUGGCGAAGGCGGCAUCCUGGACCGACACUGACGCUGAGGAGCGAAAGCCAGGGGAGCAAACGGG
rnacentral:rRNA from 1 species